rnacentral:rRNA from 1 species
UACGAAGGGGGCUAGCGUUGCUCGGAAUUACUGGGCGUAAAGCGCACGUAGGCGGCUUCUUAGGUCGGAGGUGAAAUCCUGGAGCUCAACUCCAGAACUGCCUUCGAUACUGGGAAGCUCGAGUCCGGGAGAGGUGAGUGGAACUGCGAGUGUAGAGGUGAAAUUCGUAGAUAUUCGCAAGAACACCAGUGGCGAAGGCGGCUCACUGGCCCGGUACUGACGCUGAGGUGCGAAAGCGUGGGGAGCAAACAGG